rnacentral:rRNA from 1 species
GACGAACGCUGGCGGCGUGCUUAACACAUGCAAGUCGAACGGUGAAGCGCCUUCCUUUUUGGUGGGUGUGGAUGAGUGGCGAACGGGUGAGUAACACGUGAGUAACCUGCCCCCUUCUUCUGGAUAACCGCAUGAAAGUGUGGCUAAUACGGGAUAUUCUGGGUCUGUCGCAUGAUGGGUCUGGGAAAGAUAUUGUUUCGGUGGGGGAUGGGCUCGCGGCCUAUCAGCUUGUUGGUGGGGUGAUGGCCUACCAAGGCGGUGACGGGUAGCCGGCCUGAGAGGGUGGACGGUCACACUGGGACUGAGACACGGCCCAGACUCCUACGGGAGCCAGCAGUGGGGAAUAUUGCACAAUGGGCGAAAGCCUGAUGCAGCGACGCCGCGUGAGGGAUGGAGGCCUUCGGGUUGUGAACCUCUUUCGCCAGUGAAGCAGGCCUGCCUCGUUUGUGGGUGGGUUGACGGUAGCUGGAUAAGAAGCGCCGGCUAACUACGUG